rnacentral:rRNA from 1 species
UCAAGCUACAAAGGGCGCAUGGUGAAUGCCUUGGCAUCAGGAGCCGAUGAAGGACGUGAUAAGCUGCGAUAAGCUUCGGGUAGGCGCACAUAGCCUGAGAUCCGAAGAUCUCCGAAUGAGGAAACUCACAUGGGAAACCCCAUGUAUCAUUAAGUGAAUACAUAGCUUAAUGAAGGUAACCCAGGGAACUGAAACAUCUAAGUACCUGGAGGAAGAGAAAGAAAAAUCGAUUUUCUUAGUAGCGGCGAGCGAAAGGGAAAGAGCCCAAACCGGAAACUUGUUUCCGGGGUUGUGGACAUAGCAUUAAAGUGGAGGCUAUUGUAACUGAAGAGAACUGGAAAGUUCCACCGUAGAAGGUAAUAGUCCUGUAAGUGAAACGAGAAGACCACGAGUUAUGAUCCAGAGUACCACGAGACACGUGAAACCUUGUGGGAAGCAGGGAGGACCACCUCCCAAGGCUAAAUACUACCUGAUGACCGAUAGUGAAGCAGUACCGUGAGGGAAAGGUGAAAAGAACCCCGGGAGGGGAGUGAAAUAGAACCUGAAACCGUGUGCCUACAACCGCUCAGAGCCCCUUAUGAGGGUGAUGAGGUGCUUUUUGUAGAACGAGCCAACGAGUUACGGUAUGUAGCAAGGUUAAGUACUUAAGGUACGGAGCCGAAGGGAAACCGAGUCUGAAUAGGGCGACUAGUUGCAUGCCGUAGACCCGAAACCGGGUGACCUAUCCAUGGCCAGGUUGAAGCGAGGGUAAAACCUCGUGGAGGACCGAACCACGUUGCUGUUGAAAAAGCAUGGGAUGAGCUGUGGAUAGCGGAGAAAUUCCAAUCGAACCCGGAGAUAGCUGGUUCUCUCCGAAAUAGCUUUAGGGCUAGCGUCGAGUAUGAGUAGUGGAGGUAGAGCACUGAAUGGGCUAGGGGGCAUAGCGCUUACCGAACCUUAUCAAACUCCGAAUGCCACAUACUUUGAGCUCGGCAGUCAGACUACGAAUGAUAAGAUCCGUGGUCAAAAGGGAAACAGCCCAGAUCGUCAGCUAAGGUCCCAAAGUGUAAGUUAAGUGGGAAAGGAUGUGAGAUUUCUAAGACAACUAGGAUGUUGGCUUAGAAGCAGCCAUUCAUUAAAAGAGUGCGUAAUAGCUCACUAGUCGAGAGAUCUUGCGCCGAAAAUGUAACGGGGCUAAACUUACCACCGAAGCUACGGGCUUGAACUUAGUUCAAGCGGUAGGAGAGCGUCGUAACCGGGCUGAAGUCGUACCGUAAGGAGCGGUGGACUGGUUACGAGUGAGAAUGUUGGCAUCAGUAGCGAGAUGUGGGUGAGAAUCCCACAGGCCGAAAACCUAAGGUUUCCUCAGGAAGGUUCGUCCGCUGAGGGUUAGUCGGGACCUAAGCCGAGGCCGAAAGGCGUAGGUGAUGGACAACUGGUUGAUAUUCCAGUACCACUACCAUCGUUAUUAUCGAUGGCGUGACGCAGGAGGAUAGUGUGUGCUAGCUAUUGGAUGCUAGUCUAAGCGUUUAGGCAGUGAGAGUAGGCAAAUCCGCUCUCAUAAUGCUGAGGCGUGAUGGGGAAGGUUCUACGGAACCGAAGUACAUGAUUCCACGCUGCCAAGAAAAGCGUCUAGAGAGAGAAGUAGUGCCCGUACCGCAAACCGACACAGGUAGGUGAGGAGAGAAUCCUAAGGCCGGCGGAAGAAUUACAGUUAAGGAACUCGGCAAAUUGACCCCGUAAGUUCGCGAGAAGGGGUGCCUACGAGAGUAGGCCGCAGAGAAUAGGCCCAAGCAACUGUUUAGCAAAAACACAGGUCUCUGCUAAAGCGUAAGCUGAUGUAUAGGGGCUGACGCCUGCCCGGUGCUGGAAGGUUAAGGGGAACACUUAGCGCAAGCGAAGGUGUGAACUUAAGCCCCAGUAAACGGCGGCCGUAACUAUAACGGUCCUAAGGUAGCGAAAUUCCUUGUCAGGUAAGUUCUGACCCGCACGAAUGGCGUAAUGACUUGGGCACUGUCUCAACUGUAAAUCCGGCGAAGUUGUAGUGCGAGUGAAGAUGCUCGCUACCCGCGAUUGGACGGAAAGACCCCGUAGAGCUUUACUGUAGCUUAGCAUUGAGUUUUGGUAUUGUCUGUACAGGAUAGGUGGGAGACUAGGAAACCAGGGCGUCAGCCUUGGUGGAGUCAACCUUGGGAUACCACCCUGACAGUACUGAAAUUCUAACUGGCGGCCAUGAAUCUGGUCACAGGACAUUGUUAGGUGGGCAGUUUGACUGGGGCGGUCGCCUCCUAAAAAGUAACGGAGGCGCCCAAAGGUUCCCUCAGAACGGUCGGAAAUCGUUCGAAGAGUGCAAAGGCAGAAGGGAGCCUGACUGCGACACCCACAAGUGGAGCAGGGACGAAAGUCGGGCUUAGUGAUCCGGUGGUACCUCGUGGGAGGGCCAUCGCUCAACGGAUAAAAGCUACCUCGGGGAUAACAGGCUGAUCUCCCCCAAGAGUCCACAUCGACGGGGAGGUUUGGCACCUCGAUGUCGGCUCGUCGCAUCCUGGGGCUGAAGUAGGUCCCAAGGGUUGGGCUGUUCGCCCAUUAAAGCGGCACGCGAGCUGGGUUCAGAACGUCGUGAGACAGUUCGGUCCCUAUCCGUCGCGGGCGUAGGAAAUUUGAGAGGAGCUGUCCUUAGUACGAGAGGACCGGGAUGGACUGACCUCUGGUGUACCAGUUGUUCCGCCAGGAGCACAGCUGGGUAGCUAAGUCGGGAAUGGAUAAACGCUGAAAGCAUCUAAGCGUGAAGCCAACCUCAAGAUGAGAUUUCCCAUAGCGUAAGCUAGUAAGAUCCCUUGAAGAACACAAGGUUGAUAGGUCGGGGGUGUAAGCAUGGUAACAUGUUCAGCUGACCGAUACUAAUAGAUCGAGGGCUUGACC